rnacentral:rRNA from 1 species
UACGUAGGGUGCGAGCGUUGCCCGGAUUUAUUGGGCGUAAAGGGCGCGUAGGCGGCCACGCACGUCCGUUGUGAAAUCGCCCGGCUCAACUGGGCGGGGUCAGCGGAUACGGUGUGGCUCGAGCAAGCUAGGGGGCAAUGGAAUUCCCGGUGUAGUGGUGGAAUGCGUAGAUAUCGGGAGGAACACCGAUGGCGAAGGCAGGUCUCUGGGCCACUACUGACGCUGAGAAGCGAAAGCAUGGGGAGCGAACAGG